rnacentral:lncRNA from 1 species
UAUUAAUACACCUCGCCCUCUGGCUGUCUGAUAAGGAAGAAAAGGCUGGGGGAAGAACUGAAAGGAAUUUCCAAUUACAGCUGCUUCAAAAAGAAUAAUAAGAACAUUUUAGGAUGAAUCGGGGGUGGGGAGAGGGGGAAGACGAGGAGAGUUGCCUGGCAAACCGCAAGGAAUAAUCUAGGGAAUCUGUGGGAGCCUCACUGAUUAAUUCUUUUUAAAGUUGUUUGAACAAAAUACAAAGAAUGCUCCCAUAAACUAGAUGCACUGCAUAAUGCAAUCUAUGACAGAAAUUAUAUUGAACUAUAUAAUCUGAGUUUAAUUGUCUCUUCUAGAGGCAUUUAACGACUUUAAUCUGUGAUGUUUUUAUGCAUUUUAUUGUGUGUUUCAAAUAGGCAUUUCUUUCACAGCCAUCACCACAGAACAUGAACAGUCUGUUAAAAUACAUUCACUUUCCUUCUACAAGCUAAAAUUUCCUUUACAGCUUUGUUUAUGCCAUUUUGUUCCAAUGAAGAAGUUAAGUGGUUAAUUUUUCCAUUUCUGUGCUGUUAUUGCUCACCUUCAUCCCAGUUUAAACCAGAAUGUUUUGCAGGACAUUAAACUUAUAGUGUCUUACAGCUUUUGCAGAUACGCAGUUCCAUUCACCUGCCAUCAUUAGCACGAAACAUCCCCUUCCCCAUCCUGAUGGCUUUUUCCUGUAGGGCAAAGCAAGACAAGGGGAAUGAAGAAACAUGCUUCCGAAGAUAACCAGACCCUACUCCAUUCAAGAAUCUAAAGGGAAGAACUUCGAAUCAGACAAAACACUGUCUAUAAUUCAGUGCAGAGCACAGAUUUUACCUUAGCUGACUGAAUUAGAAACUAGCUUUGCUUCCAAAAUAGUCAACUGCAAACUGGGUUUGGUAUAGAAUUGUUGCACUAGGUAAUAGUUUCUUUACAAGUGUUGACAGCAAGUGGAAGAAAGUUCCUUUUCAUUUGUAAAUUACUAUCAUAUUAGGAUAUGCUUUAUCUCUUAUUCUGUUACAUGAAGAAUACUAUUCCUCAAAAAAAGUCAAGGUAAAUAAUAGUCUUAUCUACCUUGUCAACAGUAUAAUAUAUUGUUCUUCUCGCUUUGCUUCCUUAACAAGGUGCAAGAUUGCAGUUUGUCUGAUAAAAUGGGCAGUAAAAACAAAAGUGCCGUUAGAGAUUAGCCAUGAAACUGAAACUACAGAAGGAACUACAGCUUAUAAAGAAAGCUUUCAGUGGGCAAAGAAACUAACAAAUCUGUGGGACAAGAAGGACAAACGAUUCAGCAAAUCAAGCAAAGAUGGAGGACAGCAUAUUUUUUACCCUAAAUUAAGAUGGGACUAUUAUACUUCUUUGCACAAGAGGUCAAAGCUCUAGCAAAAGAUCGAGAAGAGAAUGCAGGAUUUCCUCCAGAAAUUUUUCUUGCAAAGCAGAGCAAGAUGCACUUGAAACACUAUUCAGCAGAGAAGGAUGGUGGGUAAUUUUGGUCUCAUCUGUGCUCUGAGGGAG